AUAUUCAAAAUAUUUCUAUAGAGAAAUUUGGAGUACAUCUGCCUUAUAUGCCCCACACAUGGUUAUUUGAGCUGAGCCAGCAUGUUAAAAUAUUAAUAUCCAUAUAUAUAAAUAUGUCAUAUACAAAUAACAGUGCGCAUAUUCCAAGUUAAAGCUUGAAAGGAACAAACACAAAAGGUAUACACAGCUCAAGAACCUUUUACUCUUGGAUCGCAGCAGUCUUGAGCAUCGCAUAAGUUGGAUACAAUAAAGCCAAUCGUUCCAUCAGAGUUGCUAAGAACAAGGACGACAGUACUUGUGACAACCGAAACUAAUUUUAUCUUAGGUGGCUGGUAAUAUUAUAAUUGUACUCUCAAAAUUUCAAAUUUAAAUACAUAUAUAGAUUGGGCCAAACUUUUUUGUCUUUUUCCGAAAUUAAAAUCCUUUUGCUUUGAAA